rnacentral:rRNA from 1 species
AUUGAACGCUGGCGGAAUGCUUUACACAUGCAAGUCGAGCGGCAGCGCGGCCUUCGGGCUGGCGGCGAGCGGCGAACGGGUGAGUAAUGCAUCGGAACAUGCCCAGUCGUGGGGGAUAACACUUCGAAAGAAGUGCUAAUACCGCAUACGUCCUGAGGGGGAAAGCGGGGGAUCGCAAGACCUCGCGCGAUUGGAGUGGCCGAUGUCAGAUUAGCUAGUUGGUGGGGUAAAGGCCUACCAAGGCGACGAUCUGUAGCUGGUCUGAGAGGAUGAUCAGCCACACUGGAACUGAGACACGGCCCAGACUCCUACGGGAGGCAGCAGUGGGGAAUUUUGGACAAUGGGGGCAACCCUGAUCCAGCCAUGCCGCGUGAGUGAAGAAGGCCUUCGGGUUGUAAAGCUCUUUCGGCAGGAACGAAACGGUGGGCUCUAACAUAGUCCGCUAAUGACGGUACCUGAAGAAGAAGCACCGGCUAACUACGUG